rnacentral:rRNA from 1 species
UACGUAGGGCGCAAGCGUUGUCCGGAAUUAUUGGGCGUAAAGAGCUCGUAGGCGGCCUGUUACGUCUGCUGUGAAAUCCCGGGGCUUAACCCCGGGCGUGCAGUGGAUACGGGCAGGCUGGAGGCAGGCAGGGGAGAACGGAAUUCCCGGUGUAGCGGUGAAAUGCGCAGAUAUCGGGGGGAACACCGGUGGCGAAGGCGGUUCUCUGGGCCUGUACUGACGCUGAGGAGCGAAAGCGUGGGGAGCGAACAGG